AGCAAAAACCUUUUGCAUGGGCCAAAUGUACUAAUUAAAACGGCCGCGGUAUUUUGACCGUGCGAAGGUAGCGCAAUCACUUGUCUUUUAAUGAGACCUGUAUGAUGGUGUACGAGGGCUUACUGUCUCCCCUUCGAGUCAUGAAUUGAUCUGCCCGUGCAGAAGCGGACAUAAAAUACUAGACGAGAAGACCUUUUGGAGCUUAGAUACAGAUCACUAUGUCAAGAACCAAAGUAACUAAUAGCACUGAUCCCUAUCUCGUUGGCGACGCGGAAAACAAGCUCCCCGCGACGGGCCACCCCAGACAGAAGACUUCUAUCCGAUAUCGACCUUAAACCGCCGCGCCGACACGACAGUACCUAGGAUCAGCCAUCUUCGAUCCAUCGAGAGUUCACCUGAUUGUCAGAAUCAUGUGAUGCUUAGGGUCGUGUAAGUAGCCACGUGU
rnacentral:rRNA from 1 species